GACGAACGCUGGCGGCGUGCCUAACACAUGCAAGUCGAACGAGAAAGCCCGCUUCGGUGGGUGAGUAAAGUGGCGCACGGGUGAGUAACACGUGGGUAACCUACCCUCGAGUGGGGGAUAACAUACCGAAAGGUGUGCUAAUACCGCAUAAUACUACAUUUCAUUUCGUGAUGUAGUUAAAGGUGGCUUCGGCUGUCGCUCAAGGAUGGGCCCGCGGAACAUUAGCUAGUUGGUAGGGUAACUGCCUACCAAGGCGACGAUGUUUAGCUGGUCUGAGAGGAUGAUCAGCCACACUGGAACUGGAACACGGUCCAGACUCCUACGGGUGGCUG
rnacentral:rRNA from 1 species